UCCAUCCAGUGGCAACACUGGGGAAGACCUAGUGGCGAACGGGUGAGUAACACGUGAGGAACCUGCCCCGAAGACCGGGAUAAGCCGGGGAAACCUGGUCUAAUACCGGAUGUCCUCACCGAACCGCAUGAUUCGGUGAGGAAAUGGAUUCCGCUUCGGGAGGGUCUCGCGGCCUAUCAGCUUGUUGGUGGGGUAACGGCCCACCAAGGCUUCGACGGGUAGCUGGUCUGAGAGGACGAUCAGCCACACUGGGACUGAGACACGGCCCAGACUCCUACGGGAGGCAGCAGUGGGGAAUCUUGCGCAAUGGGCGAAAGCCUGACGCAGCAACGCCGCGUGGGGGAUGAAGGCCUUCGGG
rnacentral:rRNA from 1 species